ACAUGGUGUUAAGAUUGUUUUUGCAACAUCGGGGCACCAUAAGGAUAACCUUGUGGAAAGCACAGGCUGUAUGCUGGAAUACCCUAAGAACCUCAGUACCUUUUUAUCGACUUUUUUAGAUCGACGUAGUUCCUUCUUAAAAAAGGGAGGGUAAUAAUCUUGAGGAUUGGGCAAUCGGCAGGGAAGCGUGGAUUAUUGUUCAUCGCCCCUCAAAGACUACACGCCUGCACCCUAAUGGGUGAUGAUAUAGUCUGAACUAACCGGAGACAGUUAG
rfam:Rhizophagus irregularis DAOM 181602 strain DAOM 197198 GLOINscaffold_606_Cont610 mitochondrial, whole genome shotgun sequence.